AUGGCCACCCCCAGCCCGGUCCCGGCCCCACACCGUGGGCCCCAGCUCCCCGGGGUGCGCCGUCGGCAGCAUGGUGGUGUCCGCUCUGACCUUGGCGAGGGGCAGCGGGUCACACCCGGGUGGAUCCCGGCCUCCUGUCCGUGUCCCACAAGCGCCUUUCACUGUGCUAUGCCUCAGUUUCCCCAGCAGAGAAGUAGGGGCACGGCCAGGCUGGUUCUCAGCGUCCUUCCUCCCCCCUGGGCUGUCGGUGCCACUGCAGGCAGGCUGGGGGGGGGGCGGGGGCGGGGGAUGGGACUGCGGGGACGCCGGCAGGAGCUGGCUCUGUGCCGCAGCCGCAGCCAGCAGCGCAGUGCCCGUCCGCCCACCCGGGAGCUCCGUGCCUGGAGUCCCGAUGCGUGCGUGGGCGGGAAGGAGAGCCCCAGGGGCUGGCCCUGCCUGCUGCUGCCCUCCCCCCUCGCUGCUGGUCUCCCGCACCUGCCCUGCCCCUCUCCUAGCAAAGAGUGGGAGGGUACUGAGAGGCAGAAAGGGUGGUGUGCAGAGCGGGGUUCUCUAAGUCGGGGGGAAUCUCACUGCGUAGCAGGGCUGGUCCCCGUCACACAGGGCUCCAGGGCAGGACAGGGCCUCCCCACUCAGGCAGGGCUCAGAGCCACGCUGUGGGGUCCCAGGUUUCGGCCCAGCACGGGGUCUGUCUGUGUCUGUUCAGGGGCCGGUUCCUCCCGUGUGGGCACGUGUGAGCUCUCUCACCCCUUCCUCUUUCUUUUCCCAGCAAUGCGGGGGCCUCCUGCACUGGCGCCGCCUGGGCCUGGUCCAGGUGCCCCUGCCCGCGACAGCCACAGUGGGCACGCCCUGGCCCGGUCCAGGGUGGCCUCAGCAGGCCGUCUGGCAGAGCCGCUGCCCGGUGGCCUCCCUGAGCCCCUCACGCCCCGGGGAAGCUGCGGCCGCUGCCAGACGGAGCCGGCCUGCUGCGGGGGCUCUGUGAGGACCCCAAGAGCCGUCCCUCCAGGGCCGCGGCUGGGGGUGCUGGCCAGAGGUGGGGAGCUGGCCCGCAGCCGGAUCACACACCUGCCAUCCUUUGGAAGGGGUGAGGUGGGGGGGGGCGUUAGUGGGCAGAGAGGGCGGGGGUCCUGUCCGGAAGAGCCAGCUCCUGCACCCGGGGGACAGUGCCCAGCGGGUCGGUCGGUGGUGGCCGGGCGGACGCCUGGGCGGGGACACGGCGGCACCUUUCCCUCCCGGCCGGCCACACAGGAGCUCUGCCCGGUCUUCUACAGGAUACUCUGGCCAGGAGUCACCUUCUCCUGGGUUCAGGGCCGGGCUUUGUUCCCAGGGGCCCACGCCGCAGCUCCAAGACUCAGCCCGGCCCGCCUCCCCCGCCCCCGCAGCAGAGCGGAGGCUAAGGACACCCAUUGCCUGGCCGUGUCUGAGGCCCAGCCAGCCGCCGGCCGUUAG
rnacentral:lncRNA from 1 species